CAACUGUCAUUGGCUGUAUUUCUUGGUUUCUCAUCGACGUCAACUUUAUUGGCUUCGUAUAUUCAGUGAAUCAUUUCAUAUAAUUCUGAACAAUGGAUGAUUUCGGCGACAAUUUCGUACAACCCGAAGUCGACCCAGCCGCAGACUUCUUGGCUCGAGAGCAAAACCAACUGGCAGGACUAGAAGAUGAGCUAGAAACCAGUGCUCCGCCCCCUAUUGCGUCGAGUAUAGCUUCCAACGGUCUUGAUGAUUUUGUUGAAGUACCAAGUGCAGCAGCAUUUGAAGCCAAUGGUCUGCUCGAUGACGAUCCAGCCCCUGCACCAGCUCCAACUGCUCCAGCAGUCUCCGUAUUCAGACAAGAAAGGGAAGAACCUGAGAAGAUUAAGAUAUGGAGAGAGGAACAGAAGCAGAGACUGGAAGAGAAAGAUGCUGAGGAAGAGAGAAAGAAGCAAGAAAUGUUGAAGGUAGCUAAAAAGGAAUUAGAGGAUUGGUACAAAACACAUGAGGAGCAAAUUGCUAAAACUAAGGCAGCUAACAGGGAGUCUGCUAAAAACGCAGAGAAAGCUCUAGCCCGUGGAUCUGAGAGUACCGUUGAAGAGGGUAACGAGUGGGCUCGCGUGGCGGAACUCUGCGACUUUGGGCCGAGGCGCGGCCGCGAUGUGGCUCGUCUCAGAUCCAUUGUACUCCAGUUGAAGCAGUCGGGAGUCAGCCCUAAGUACCCCCCGCGGGCAACUAAAGUGUAAGUAAAUCAUAUAGGUAUGGUAAAAUAAAAAUGUGUGGGAGUUUUCACAGCUUAUGGAUAUGUUCUGUGUAGCUUAACUGUCAGUUAAAAGAGCAAUAAUGUUUGGAAAUAUAUUAUUAUGAAAAGAGUGCCAAAUACUAUCAGAACAUAAUCCUUAGUGUGCUUAUGUCAUGUUUCUGACUUGAUUUUAACAAUUAAUUUAAAAAAAUACACAAAAACUUUAGUAAACUGUAUGAAGUACAUUUAAACUUAACUGGCCUUAGAUUAGACAAAUCUAAAUGUAUUGAAAUCUUACUUUAAUUGCAGUUUUAAAAUGUAGUUCAUUGAUCUUCUAUACUAUAAAAAUGAAUCACAAAAUGUGUUAAGCGCAUAACUCGAGAACGGCUGAACCGAUUUCGUUAAUUCUUUUUAUGUAAUAUUCCUUGAAGUACCAGGAUGGUUCUUAUGGAGAGAAAACGUAAACAUGUACCACGGGCGAAGCCGGGGCGGACCGCUAGUGUUACUAUAAAUAUGUAUUAACAAUUAAUUGUCUUCUAAGGGUUACCAGCUGAUCGAGUCAAAGGUCAAAAGAAAAUAAACUACUAAAAUGUAAUAAGCAUGUUUUAAUAACAAUGUUUUCUCUUGUUACAGAGCUUGAAGAUUUUUA